AAUUAAUCCACAAAGCCAAACCCAGGCUUCCUGCUCUGAGAAUAUAGGAUCAAACUUGUGCUGUCUGACUGCCACGUGGCUCUCUAUUUAUCCCUGUGAAACCUGGCAGAAUUAUUUAAAAGGAAAGAAGGGAUGGAAACUCCCUCUUUCUUCAAGUCAGGAUUAUGGUCUAGGGCUUAAAAUACUGGUUUAAUGGUGAAGAUCAAGACUUGAGAGGCUACUGGUGCCAAUGGACACUGUGGAUGAUUGUCACUUCUCCAAGGACCAUACAAAAGACUGUGCAUUAAAAGAGGUUCGGGGCAUAGAAAACUCCACUGCAAAGUGUGGUACCAUUUCCUGGAGAAGCUAAAUGGAUGAGAAGCCUACCACAAAGAAAGGUCCAGAUUUCUGUUCAUUACGCUAUGGACUGGCUCUCAUCAUGCACUUCUCAAACUUCACUAUGAUAACCCAGCGUGUGAGUCUUAGCAUUGCAAUCAUUGCCAUGGUGAACGGCACCCAACAGCAUGGUCUCUCAAAUGCCUCCACUGAUGGGCCUCUUGCAGACGCCCUCAAUAACCUCAGCAGAUCCACAGUAGAAUUUAAUAGAAAAGUCUCUGUGUAUCAAUGGAGCCCAGAGAUUCAAGGUAUCAUCUUUAGCUCCAUCAACUAUGGGAUAAUAUUGACUCUCAUCCCAAGUGGAUAUUUAGCAGGGAUAUUUGGAGCAAAACAUAUGCUUGGUGCUGGUUUGCUGAUCUCUUCCCUUCUCACCCUCUUUACACCAUUGGCUGCUGACUUUGGAGUGACUUUGGUCAUUGUGAUUCGUACAGUCCAGGGCAUGGCGCAGGGAAUGGCUUGGACAGGUCAGUUUACAAUUUGGGCAAAAUGGGCUCCUCCACUUGAACGAAGCAAGCUCACCACCAUUGCAGGAUCAGGGGUAGCAUUUGGAUCCUUCAUCAUCCUCUGUGUGGGAGGAUUAAUCUCACAGGCAUUGGGCUGGCCUUUUAUCUUCUACAUCUUUGGUAGCACUGGCUGUUUCUGCUGUCUCCUAUGGUUCACAGUGAUUUAUGAUGACCCCAUGCAUCACCCUUGCAUAAGUGUCAGAGAAAAGGAGCACAUCGUAUCCUCACUGGCUCAACAGUCCAGUUCUCCUAGACGAUCUGUCCCCAUAAAGGCUAUGGUCAGAUGCCUUCCACUUUGGGCCAUUUUCUUGGGUUUUUUCAGCCAUUUCUGGUUAUGCACCAUAAUCAUAACAUACCUACCAACGUACAUCAGUACUGUGCUCCAUGUUAAUAUCAGAGAUAGUGGGGUUCUGUCUUCCUUGCCUUUUAUUGCUGCCUCAAGCUGUACGAUUCUAGGAGGUCAGUUGGCAGAUUUCCUUCUGUCCAAGAAUCUUCUCAGAUUGAUCACAGUGCGAAAACUCUUUUCAUCCCUAGGGCUCCUCCUUCCAUCACUGUGUGCUAUGGCCCUGCCCUUUGUGGUUUCCAGUUACAUGACAACCAUUAUUUUGCUGAUACUUAUUCCUGGGACCAGCAACCUGUGUGACUCAGGGUUCAUCAUCAACACCUUAGAUGUCGCCCCCAGAUAUGCAAGUUUCCUCAUGGGAAUUUCAAGAGGCUUUGGACUUCUCGCAGGAAUAGUCUCCUCUACUGCCACUGGAUUCCUUAUCAGUCAGGAUUCUGAAUCCGGAUGGAGAAAUGUCUUUUUCCUGUCUGCUGCUGUCAAUAUGUUUGGCCUGGUCUUUUACCUCACAUUUGGACAAGCAGAAAUCCAGGACUGGGCCAAAGAGAGGACUGUCACUCGCUUCUGAGGAUCUAGAGUUCCAAACUUAAAUGACCCUCCAGCAUCAGAGCAGGAGGGAAAGCAGUGAAAUAAUCUAUCUUGUCAGCUUUUGGAUCAAAGCCCAAGUUCCCAAACAGCAAAAUGAAUGAGCUUAAGCUUCCAAGAAACAUGACCCUGGAAAUAUCAAUUACCAUGGGAGGCGAGAACAACAAAUGACAUACCAUGUCUAGGAUUUCUGAACAGCUGUUCUAAAUGAAUUCCUGACAGAUGGCAUGAGAAUGUUGGCCACAGCAGCAAUGUUCUAAAUUCAGAACAACUGAAGCAGGACAGGAUAGGGAACUGGUUUUUUCAAACAAAGCUGGAAUAUUUUCCUAGCGCACCAAAUCUCAAGUUAUCUUCAAAAAGUUUGCUCCCUCACAUUUCAUAAGAGUUUUCAGUGUUCAUGUCAGAACUAAAGCAGGCAGCUAAUUGGCCUUGACUUGACAAGCUGAAACAGUAAGUAUUAUUUCAGUAAGUAUUAAGUCAGUGUUCAUGUCAGAACUAAAGCAGGCAGCUAAUUGGCCUUGACUUGACAAGCUGAAACAGUAAGUAUAUUUCAGUAAGUAUUAAGUCAGUGGCCUACUGACUGCAGACUUAGAGAAAGCAGAGAAGAGACAGAGAGAUACUGAGCAGAACUUCCUAACUUUCUGUACACUGAUCCAAUUCUUUUGAGUUUUUUCCAGGAACAGCAAAACCUCCUUGGAGCCCUGAGAUAACUACAGUGCUUUACACUACCUGAUGGUCUGGAGAAAGACAAGAUAAGGGACGUGCCGCCACAGAUUGUGCUCAGGAGCCACUGAGCCUGUGCACAAGGCUAAAAGAAUGAACAGUGUUAACUCCUGGCUCAUUAUAAUACUAAAAUUCCCACCCUAGGGUGGGAUUUAUCCACUAUUUUUUGUUUAUGGGACGUAUGUACUAGCAUGAUUCUUCACGGCACUUGUGGGCCCUGCACUCCACUCCAAACAUGUAAUGGGGUUCACUCUCCUUAUGCAUUAUUCAUUUUUACCUCCAUAUAAACCCCUUGACCCUAUAGUCAGGGAUGUGGAUUUCAGGUAGCCUAUGCCUUCCCCUGCUAGUUGACACAUCUUCUGAAAUAAAUCCUUUCUCCCUUGACAAUC